UACGAAGGGGACUAGCGUUGUUCGGAAUUACUGGGCGUAAAGCGCACGUAGGCGGAUUUGUAAGUCAGGGGUGAAAUCCCGGGGCUCAACCUCGGAACUGCCUUUGAUACUGCAAAUCUCGAGUCCGAUAGAGGUGGGUGGAAUUCCUAGUGUAGAGGUGAAAUUCGUAGAUAUUAGGAAGAACACCGGUGGCGAAGGCGGCCUGCUGGGCGGCGACUGACGCUGAGGCGCGACAGCGUGGGGAGCAAACAGG
rnacentral:rRNA from 1 species